GGGUUUGAUUAUGGCUCAGAUUGAACGUGGCGGGAUACUUUACACAUGCAGUCGAACGGCAGCACGGACUUCAACGGUCUGGUGGCAGUGGCGAACAGGUGAGUAAUGUAUCGGAACGUGCCUAGUAGCGGGGGAUAACUACGCAGCGUAGCUAAUACGCAGCAUACGCCCUUCGGGGAAAGCAGGGGACCUUCGGGCCUCGCACUAUUAAGGAAGCGGCCGAUAUCGGAUUAGCUAGUUGGUGGGGUAACGGCUCACCAAGGCGGCGAUCCGUAGCUGGUUUGAAGGACGACCAGCCACACUGGGACGGAGACACGGCCCAGACUCCUACGGGGAGAGGCAGCAGUGGGGAAUUUUGGACAAUGGAAACCCUGAUCCAGCGCCAUCCGCGUGUGGGCAGAGGCCUUCCGGGUUUGCCAAAGCACUUUUGGCAGGAAAAGAAACGGCCUGGAUAAUAAUACCCGAUGCAACUGACGGCUACCUGCAGAAUAACGGCUAACUACGUGCCAGCAGCGCCGUGGCAUGCGUAAGUGCAAGCGUUAAUCGGAAUUACUGGGCGUAAAGCGUGCGCAGGCGGUUCGGAAGAGAAAGAUGUGAAAUCCAGAGCUUAACUUUGGGAACUGCAUUUUUAACUACCGAGCUAGAGUGUGUCAGAGGAGAGUGGAAUUCCGCGUGUAGCAGUGAAAUGCGUAGAUAUGCGGAGGAACACCAUUAGCAACAACGGCGCUCUGGGAUCUUUAUGACGCUCUUUGGCAAUGGGGAGCAAACAGGAUUAGAUACCUGGUAGUCACGCCUAAACGAUGUCAACUGGCUGUUUGGGGCCUGGGGCAUGGUAACAGCUAACGGCGUGAAGUUGACCGCCUGGGAGUACGGUCGCAAGAUUAAAACUCAAAGGAAUUGACGGGGACCCGCACAAGCAGUGGAUGAUGUGGAUUAAUUCGAUGCGAAAGCGCGAAGAGCCACCCUUGACAUGUCUGGAAUCCCGAAGGAGAUUUGGGAGGAGUGCUCGCAAGAGGAACGUUUACAGGUGCUGCAUGGCUGUCGUCAGCUCGUGUCGUGAGAUGUUGGGUUAAGUCCCGCAACGGGCGCAACCCUUGUCAUUGGAUUGCUACGAGGCGCUCUCAUCGAGACUGCCGGUGACAAACCGGAAGGUGGGGAUGACGUCAAGUCCUCAUGGCCCUUAUGGGUAGGGCUUCACCGUCAUACAGUGGUCAGGCAGGAUUAGCCAACCGCGAGGGAGCCAAUCCCAGAAACCCGAUGUGAUCGGAUCACGUCACAACGGCUGCGUGAAGUGUUCGAAUCGCUAGUAAUCGCGGAUCAGCAUGUCGCGGUAGACGUUUGAGGUCUUGUACACCGCCCGUCACACCAUGGGAGUGGGUUUCUGCGAAGUAAGUUGGCCUAACCGUAAGGAGGCGAUUACUGCGGUAGGAUUCAUGACUGGGGUGAAGUCGUAACAAGGUAG
rnacentral:rRNA from 1 species